rnacentral:rRNA from 1 species
GUGGGGAAUUUUGCGCAAUGGGCUAACGCCUGACGCAGCAACGCCGCGUGGAGGAUGAAGGUCUUUGGAUUGUAAACUCCUGUCAGCAGGGAAAAAGCAACUUGACCUAAUACGUCAGGGAGUUGAUUGUACCUGCAGAGGAAGCCCCGGCUAACUCUGUGCCAGCAGCCGCGGUAAUACGGGGGGGGCUAGCGUUGUUCGGAAUUACUGGGCGUAAAGGGCGCGUAGGCGGUCUGCUAAGUUGGAUGUGAAAACUCUGGGCUUAACCCAGAGCCUGCAUUCAAUACUGACAGGCUAGAGUUCUGGAGGGGAUAGCGGAAUUCCUGGUGUAGCGGUGAAAUGCGUAGAUAUCAGGAGGAACACCGGUGGCGAAGGCGGCUAUCUGGACAGAAACUGACGCUGAGGCGCGAAAGCUAGGGGAGCAAA